rnacentral:lncRNA from 1 species
CGACCCCUAUUUGUGUCUGGGGACCUUGUAUUUAUAGACUUCCAAAGCCAUGCCUUUGGGUGGAUUUGGCUUUGAUUUGUGUCUUGAUUCAUACAGGGGAGAAUUUAGAUAUGUUUUGUGUCUUAAUUUCAGCCACUUUCCCUCACCUUGGCCGAAUUAUAGGGCUUGUUACCUAUUUUGUGAGCAAUCUUCAAUUCUUGCUUGUUUUGUGAAGAUGCUUUAGCUUUCUUUCCACUUUUAGGAGCAAUUUGGACCCCUUGCCGAUUUUAAGAGGGAUUUUCUCCCUUUUGCCAACUUUUGGGAAGGUUUUGUACUUCCUUUGCUUGAUUUGUGCCACAUGUCUUUGAUGACUUGUCCAUUUGUGAUGAGUCAUAUGCCACGUGGACCUUUAUGAUGCAUCAUUUGUAUGCAAAGAAAUUUACAUGUCUACAAUGGGCACGUGAAUUUCUGACCUUCACCCUAUUGAGAGAGAAUACUCUAUGAUAUGAUUAAGAAUCUUUGGCAAGAGUAUGAAUUGAAUGAAAUCUAGGCAGUUGUUGAUGCGAUGAAAGUUAAACACUCAAAUUAAACCCUCUUGUUGUCAAAUUGUAGUGUAAAUGCAAGUAGGAAUCAUUCUAAACCGGGGAUUAGGAGGGCUUGCUAAAACCUCUAAACUUACUCAAAAACAUAAAAACAAAGUUAAAAACGUUUGAAUAGACUCAAGGGACUCAAAACAGAUUCUAAAGACUCAAAACUACCUAAAAACACUCAAAACUGGGCAGAUUUAACUCUAACACAAUUUUGGACGAAUUUAGUGUUUUGGUUUGAAUCAAAACACUCAAAAACACAAACAAAACCGAAAUUUAACACUUUGAAAUAAGAAAGUAAAAUGGGGAUUUUGGUUUUGAUGAAUUUGAAACAAACAAACAAGUUAUAAAACUAGGCAGAUUGUAAGACAAAUUUGAGGAAUACGAUGAUGGAUGGAUUAGUUAGAGGUCCGUUCUUCACACAUGACACACUUGUACAUGAAUCGAUUUCCAAUUGCUUUCCAAUAAACUAUGAUGCUCAACACCCCAGAUUAACCGUGAUGCACAAAUUAACCCUCAGAUUUUCCUUUACUCAUUGAAUUGGAUGAAUGCAUGCGACAACCCAAAUCAUUUUCUAAAAGUCCCCUAUAUGAAUGCACAAUAGAGAUACAAUCAGAGAUCAUUACGUUCAAUGAAAAUCAUAAGUGUUGACGAGGCAAUUAUAACUAUGAAUGCAUGAUACAAUUGCCAAGAAUUCAAUUAACGCGAUUGUGAUACCUUCACUACUCAUGAAUAUAAACUUGUAACGAUUAGGUGAAACUCAUUUAUAUUCUAGCAUCUAAUUCAUGCAUGAAAACUAAGUAUGCAUCCUUAAUAACAUACAAGAAUCAGUUAUGAAUAAAAUAGAUAAUUGAAUUGCAAUCACAACUUAUCAAAUCACAAUUGGAAGAAAUCAAUUCAAAUCUCAAGCAUGUUCAUGGCUUCAAACUUCUCCCUAACUAAAUAGGGGUUUAGCCACUCAUAAUUGCAACAAAAUUAGAAAAUAACAAAGCAGACAUUGAAAGCAAGAACGAAGUACACCUAAAACGCUCCAAUCUUCAAGCUUGAAAUGCCAAGGACCUUCUUUUUCACCACCUUGUUGCGGCACGAGAAAGGGGAGUGGCUAAAUGGAGGUCACGGCAAGGGAUGAAAGUGUAAGUGUAUGGAGUUGUGAGAUGUGAAAAUGUAGUGUCUUUGGAUGGAGAUGGAAUCCUUUAGGAAGGGGAAUGGUGGAUGUAUUUAUAGGCUAGGGAGAGGAUAGUGUAUGUUGUGGUAAUGAGUGGAUGUAAUGGGUGUAGUGGGUGAGUGUUGUGGUAAUGAGUGGAUGUAAUGGGUGUAGUGGGUUGUGGUAAUGAGUGGUGUUUGGUAAUGAGUGGAUGUAAUAGGUGUAGUGGGUGGAUGUUUGGUAAUGAGUGGAUGAGUGUUUGGUAAUGAGUGGAUGUAAUGAGUGUAGUGGAUGGAUGUUUGGAGUUGUAGGUUAACACACUUGCACACACACAUGCUGAUUUCUAGCCUUCAAAUCUUAAAAAACGUCCAUCCUCAUGUCUCCAUGCUUGCACUAUCCAAUCUUAGCUCAAAAAUGUUCUAAAAUGCUCCAAAAUGCACUUUCUUGCCAACUUUGUUAUUAUGACCUACAAACACACGAAAUAGCUUAAAAUACAUAAUUAACUAAGAAAUAACAACACAACUGCACAAGAACAAGCUAACUAAGUCGCAUAAAUAUGCUCCUAUUAGUUGUACUAAAUCACAUUCAAGGUAAUCAUAUGGAUAAGAGAAUCACAUUGGAUAGUAGACAUGCAUAAACUAUCAACCAAACAGUGUGAUCAAGAGUAUUGAUGUAGAGAAGGGUCGUAUGGCAUUGCAAUCCCAAACUAAUUAGGUUCUCCAACCUCUUGUGAUUAGCUUGGGUAACCAUGACAUACUACUAGGUGGCACUCAUGGUUUGUGAAAGUCCUGAAGAUGAAUAAUCACUAAAGGGAGAAUUGAAGUAACUUUCAAUUCACAAUCGAUUAUUAAGAGUUCUAAUGGCCCACUGCCUCACUAAAAGGAACCUAAUGGAUUGCACACCGUGUAAUGUAAUGUAAUGAUUGAAGGAUAUAACAAAGAUGAGUAAGGAUGAUAGGGAUUUUACUACUCAUGUGAACGAGCUAAAAACUCCUAUUAUACAUGCAACAAUCACAAGGUUGUUGUAGUAUAAACGGAUCUCGCAAGGUCGUUCUCCACAAGGAUUAUUAAAUAAUUCUAAACUAACCAAAUUCCAAUUAAUUAUUGUAAAGUAGAAAUUGAGAUGAUUGAUUUUAUAACCUACUUAAAUUAAAAGCGACAUUAACUAUUAAAGAUAAGACAAUCUGCAAUAUUAAAACUGGGGGAAAAAGAAAGCAGUUUUGGGAGAAAUCAAAUUAAGAAAGCACUAGAGUUCCACCAUCACCUAGCAAUCCUAUGAAAUUUUACCAAUUACUUAUGAUCAACACAUGCCACUUUGAAGGUUAGAUUUUCCUAAUUCAUAUUCUACUUGGAACCUCCAACAUAGAACAUAUAUCUAACAUGCAACCCGUUUGAACGUUCGGAUCAAAUCUGAACAUGAAAGACUCAUUAUCCUUUAUGAAAAUCCUUUGAAAAACCAUGGAACCCUUAAGACGUGGUAUUCAUCCUAAGUGAAAUUACAUAUUAAUCACAAGAAGCCAACGUCAAUUUCAGGGAACCUUCUGACCAAAAUUGCAUCAAAUUACUUUCUAAAGAUCCUAAUGAUGAUCAGGCAUUAACACAAUUGAAAUCAUAGAAAAUAUUAUUAAGAAACGGAUUGAAAACACCUUCAAGUAGAAAAUCUCCAAAACCCUAGCAAUUCUCUCUGUCUCCAAAGUUGCAAUAAAUAAAGCGUAGUGAAAUAUGGUAGACGGCCAAGCAAUAUAUCUGCUAAGCCCCCACACAAACCUUAAAAACAGGUCCUUUAUUCCCCCUAGGAAACUAAAAUUAAUAAUCCAAUAAAAUAGGAAACAUAACCCUAAAUUAAAUGGUAAAAUUUGUCUAAAAUCUGAACAGCCACGUUUUGGAUCCAUAAGCUGCUCCAAAACUGGCCCAAUAUAGCUGGAUUUAAUGUUUGGAAUAUUUUGAACACUUCUCCAUAAGGCCACGAACCCAUUCGAGGUGAUCUUGGGCUAAAAAAACGCAAUUUAAGCCCGAAAGCGUCAUUUUUCAGCACUGCGCAUCGCUCAUUUAUUUUAUCACCAGAAAAUAACCACUUGGUGGAAAAAUCCCAGAUUUUGAUACAAUCAAGCUAAGUGACUCACGAACGUUCUCCGACUAGAAUUACUCCAAAAUUCGUCCACUUUAUCCAGUUUUGCUCCAAAGGAAAUCAAAAGUGCUAUAUUGAAAAUACAAUUCAAAGCAUCAAAAUUCUUCCAAAAUAUUAACCAAAAUGUACUAAGAUUAGGGUAAAAUAUAUAAUAUAAAAUCUGCUCAUCAAAAUACCCCCAAACUUAUCUUUUUGCUUGUCCUCAAGAAAAAAAAAACUAGAAAACAAAAAUAAAAACUAACAAACUAAACAACUAGCUAAAAUUAACUAACAAAAAUUUUCUCCUUCAAAGUUUCAAUCCAUAGCAAAUUUUAAAAACUAGAACAUCUUUUUAAAAGUUCCAACCAAUCCCACCACAGAGUCUAAACCAUUUAGAAUCAAUUAGAAAAGAAUUCACAAACUUCCUUUGGUGUAAAGUGAACCAACAUAGUUAAGGAGACUCGACUAAAACUCUUACCUCUCGUCCUACUUUAUUUCACACAUAAUAACUUUAAAUAUAACUAUUUUUCUUUUGCUUUUUCAAUUUUUUUCUUUUUUUUUUCUCAUUUAUAACUUUUUUUUUUCAGUAACAAUAGUGGUCGUGCAAUGUCAGUUCACUUAAGCUUUCGAUCCAACCCAUGUAGCGAGCUUUAGGUCAAUGACUACCAAACCACUAGGGCUUUAGGGCACUAGGUGUAGAACACCCCUAAGGACUUAUUAACUCGAGUUAAAAAGGCUACGAAACCAACUAACCACUCUGCCCCAUGCCAAAACUCUACCGUUUGACGCGAGAAUCACUGCUGAUUAGGCAGGACUGGCCCAGUACUAGGCAAAACCUCGGGUGAGACAACUAUUACUUUAUUCACAAUAAUAACUGACUUUACUUAAAAUAAAAAUUAAAAAUAAACUUAGACUAAAAGUAAGUGUUUCAAUCUCACUCCCCACAAACCAUGUUGGUGUGAUGUGCAAAGUUCAAAGUAUAAUUCAUGAAUUAGUGUCUAAGCAAUGAUAAAUAGAAAAGACUCUACUAUGGGAUUAAUCUUCAUCAGGUCCCUUUGUUCUAACGUUUAAAAUAAUCUAUGGAUAUUAACUUAAAAAGAAUGAAAAAUUUUAAACUGACACAAAAAUCAAAAAUUAAAAUCCUAAAAUUUUACUUUCCCACCCCCAAACUUAUGUCACACUUUGUCGUCAAGGUGUGGAAAAUAAAUGGAAACUAAAAAAAACAAAAAGUAAAACUGGAAAAGACAAAACAAAAGCCUAGACUAAAUAAACUAAAAGAAAAAGGAAAACAGAGAAGAAACAAAGAAAUUAAAAUAAACAAAUAAUAGAACAAACAGAAAAGAAGGAAAAGAAACACCUGGAUUCGAACUUAGGACCUGGGGCUGUGUGAAGACGCGCGGACCACCACGGAUAGUGCAACACUUAUGUCAACUUGUGCAACAGCUGGUAUAGAAAGCGGUGUAGCAGCUGCAUGUGUCAUUUAAAAAAAAAACCUACCUAUUAUUGAACACGCAUAGGAUUCCCUUUUCACUAGCCUCGAUCCCUGAGCCACCAAACGACUCUCUGUCUCCCAUUUUGAAAAUGUCCCUAUCCCAACAGACAUGACAGGCCACAUGUCAUGCAUCCAUAUGAUGAAUUCCUUAGGAUUCUAAAAGAAAGGCUCAGAUGCACCCAUUUCUCUCACUUUUAAUUUUGUUUUUCGUUUCAACAAACUCCAGCCCUCUCUCACUAAAAACCCAAACGUACAUCCAUAUCAGAAAUAAGUCUCCCAUUUUCCUUAACCCACUCUCUUUUUUGCUCUCAGACCCCAUAUCUUUUUAAAAUGAAAAUUAGCUUUCAUUCUUUCUCAUUUUUCUCAAUCCUCGCAGCCAUCUCAUCAUUUCAGACCUCCCGUUGUCUCCUCAGUUUGGCACCCCUCUUCAUACAAAAAGCCAAACAACAUACAUACCUCGUGUCUCUCGACCCCAUCCAUGGUGGAGCGAAACAUGCAUGUCUAAUUCCUCUAUGAACUAGAAGCUGAACAUGGCAAAGGAAAGGAGAAAACAACGAAUAUUGUGCAGAUCCGGGUAUUUCAAAGGUAAAAUCUUGUUCACUGUCAGUGAUGAACCCCAAUAUGUGAAACAGUGGCUGCAUUACCGUUGCAUGUAAUUAUAAUGGUGUGGUCUUUGUGCAGAAACACUCGGAUCCAUGACAGAUCCGAGAGAAAGAAUGCUCAAACUGGAGAUCCAUUGGAGGAAAGGCAGGACGCAUCAUAAAGGCCAUGCUCUAUCGAUUUGGAAGGUAUAAGCACUCAUCCCUGUAGAAAUUAUGAUUUUCACAAUAUCGGGUGUUGUAAGUGAUGCACAACGAAGCUAAAACUGAGCCGAGGUUGUAUUUAGGUCCUGUUUUGUAAAGAUGAUGUUUUAUGGCUCUACAUGGUCUCAUGUUGGUGUGCUUUGUGCAGUAAAGGUGGAUCACUAAUAGAUCCGUGGGAAGGAAAGUGGAUGGACAAACAUCAGCUUCAAUGGACAAAAACGGCACAAGCUUCCAAGAGCCCAGAUCGGAGCAUCUGGGAGGUAAAAUUUCAUAUCCUUGCAAUUUCCCACCCCCAAACUUGCAUCGCUAAAUGAGCUCAUAUUAAUUGCUUUAAAUUUUAGCAUAGUGUAGAUGUGGUUGAUGUUAAUGCAAACUUGCUGCUGGGUGCAUGACUCCAGUAUCAGAUAAGUUGUCUCUAUUUUCCCUUGGUUUCCAUGCAUGCAACCUGCAAUUAACCAAUAUAUGCAAAUAUUAAAAACGGAGCUAAAAUCAACUGCGUAAAUAAAGAAAGCAAAAUAUUUUAGGAUUUUUCACGUUUUUAUUUUUUUUAUUUUAUAAUUUGUAUUUUAUUUAUUUAUUUAAACUUAGGUAUGUAAAUGCAUCUAGAAAUUUAACUAAUAAUAAAAAAAUCAAAUGAAAAAUAAAAUAAGGAAAGAGUUUAGAAAAAUUGGGUUGCCUUCAAACAAGCGCUUUAUUUUAAGUCUGUAGCUAGAUGUUGUAGAAGUCCGUUGGCUAGAUCACUGGUUCCCUCAUAGUCAAAAACUCGCUUGCACCAAAUUUCCCUAUGCAUCGUUUAAGUUGAUGUUUGGUAACCUUAAAUGGGAAAUCUUUACCCUCAGCCGUGAUGUCCACAUUACCAUUCUGAAAAACGUUAGUAACUAGAAAAGGACCUUUCCAUCGAGACUCUUGUUUCCCUGGAGAUGAUUUGAAAUAGGAACUUAACAACCACACUUUUUUACCAGGCUGUAUUUUUGCACAACUUGGACUGCUUUGCAAUUUUUUAUUGCCCUUGACAUUCAAAUGUUUUGGUCAAUCUGGUGGCAAAUCACAUUUUGAGUCUUUAUGGGCAGCUUGCCAAUAGAUGAUCUGGUCACAAAAUUGGCAUGAGGUAAACCAUUUAAUACAUCAACAUGCAUGCAUUCUUGUGUCACCUGAAUGUAUGCUUGCUUCGAACAACUUGAAAACAACCGUUUGAUCUUCAACUCGGAAUGUUAAUGUUCCGACUUCCACAUCAAUAAGAGUUCAGGCUGUUGCCAAGAAUGGGCGGGCCAAAAUGAUGGGUGUUGUCAAAUCCUCAUCCAUGUCCAACACCAUAAAAUCAGCCAGUAAAUAUAAAUUGUCAACCUUCACAAUAACAUCUUCAAUGACUCCUCUAGGAUAGGUAAUUGAAUGGUCAGCCAAUUGAAUAAUGUUGGAGGUCGACUUCAGCUCUCCUUCACCUAAACGUUUAAAAACAGAAUAAGGCAUUAAGUUUACACUAGCACCUAAAUCAAUUAAAGCAUUAUUAAAAUCACAAUUUCCAAUGGUGCAAGAGAUAGUAAAACUCCUUGGAUCUUUUUUCUUUGGAGGCAAUUUAUGCAAUAAGACCGCACUGCACUGUUCUGUCAGAAUCACUUUUUCAAAAUCAAUGAGCUUCUUUUUCUUUGUGCAAACGUCCUUAAAAAACUUGGCAUAAUAUGAAAUGUUCUUGAUUGCAUCAAUUAACGGUAGAUUAAUCUGAACUUUAGACAAAGUCUUCAUAAAAUUUGUUAACUGUUGAUCUUUAACUUUAGGCUUCAACCUUUCGGGAUAAGGCAUAGGUGGCUCAUAAACACGCUUUGCAGUUUUUGUGGUAGCUUUGCAGUAUUUUUAGAUCUGUCUUGGGGCUACCCAGAAUCUGCAAAAGUAUCAGAUUUAGUUUGGGGCAGUUCUGCUGCCUGUGAAUUUCCAGCAGAAUUUUCAUGUAUGUUGUCAUAAUUUUUGCCAGACUGUAAAGUCCGUAUAGCAUUGCAUUCUUCUCGUCCUCUUGGAUUAGGUACUGUUUGACUAGGAAAUGUACUCGGUGCUCUUUCUGAAACUUGCAACGCAAUCUGCUCAAUUUGUUUUUCCAUAUUUUUCAUUGAUGCGUGCAGAUUUUGGAUUUCUUGACUGAUAGUAUUAGCUAAUUUUUCAAUUGCUAUCUCCCAAGAAGCCUUAGGUGCAGCAGGUUGCUGUACCUGCUGUUGAAAUUGAGGCCUAGAGUGCUGAUCUUUGUCCCACUUUAAAUUAGAAUGAUCUUUCCAACCUGGGUCGUAAAAAUUUGAAUACGGGUCAUAUCUGGGACGCUGGAAAUUGUUAAAUGAAUUAGCCUGCUCUGCUGUAAACUUCGAAUAAGCAUUUUUAGAUGGACAGCUCAAAAAUCAUGAUUUGUCAUGCUGGAAACGCUGCAGGCAGCUUGUAAAGGCUGUUGUACAACAACAUGUGAACCUGGGAUUCUUUGUAAUAACAUGUCAAAUUUUGCAUCAAGCCUUUUCUCCAUUUUUUCAAUUUGUGCUGUAAUAUAUGGAGAACCGUUAGACAUCUCAAAAACGGAUCUAGAUUGUGGCUGCUCAACUGCCUAUUGUUGUGUAUCUGUUGCCAUUUUUUCAAAUAACAAACAAGCCUCUUGUGCAGUUUUAUCUUUGUACGAACCUCCGCAUGAAGCAUUGACAAGAGUUUUUGUAGUCAUAUUUAACCCUCUGAAAAAUAUAUGCAUUUGAUCCGUAGUGUUAAUACUCGAAUGUGGACAUUUUCUAAUCAACUUCUUGAACCGCUUCCAUGCCUCAUGAAACUCUUCAUUAGGUUUUUCGGCAAAAGAUAAAAUAUGAGUUCUCAUAUCAAGAGUCUUAGAAGCCGGAUAAUACUUGUUUAAAAUAUUUUCACUGAGUUGGGCCCAAGUACUAAUGCUUCCAGAUGGGAGUGUGAGGAGCCAUCUCCUUGCUUGAUCUUUUAGAGUGUAAGGAAACAAAUGGAGCUUAAUAGAUUCGGCUGAAAAUCCCCUCACCAAAAUAUUUUUCCAACCCAUUAAAAAUUCUGCAAUAUGCAUGUUUGGAUCGUCAGUUGAUAACCCAUGAAAUGUAGGUAGAAUAUUCAACACGUGCUGCUUUAUUUCAAAUGUAGACCCUUCCUUCACUGCUGAUAAGUAAUGCAACUUGGUAUAUUAGUGGUAUGAGCUGUUAAAGAAUCACCCAAAGGCUGACCUGCCUCUGGAAUAAUGAAUGCCAUUUUUCCUUUACUGUGCAGAUUCCCAGAAAUUGAAGACUGCAAAAAAGUCCCCUGCAGAGAAGGAACCCACUGCAAAUUUUUCUCCCUGCGUCUCCUUAAAGUCUGCUCGAGUUAUGGAUCAAAAGGAAGCAGUUUCUGUACUGUUGAACGGGUGCUGACCAUGCACAGAUUAUCUUUGUAAUCUGCACUGUAUUGCUGUAAUCUGUGAAAAAUAAAAUAAAAACGAAAAUUAAAUAAUUUUUUUUUCUUUAUAUAUAUAUAUAAACAGCAAUAACUAAUUGAAAAUCUGAUUAGUAGGAAUUAUUUUAAAUAAUUCCUGGCAAUGGCGCCAUUUCAUGAUAGGGAUUUUACUACUCAUGUGAACGAGCUAAAAACUCCUAUUAUACUUGCAAGAAUCACAAGGUUGUUGUAGUAUAAGCAGAUCUCGCAAGGUCGUUCUCCACAGGGAUUAUUAAAUAAUUCUAAACUAACCAAAUUCCAAUUAAUUAUUGUAAAGUAGAAAUUGAGAUGAUUGAUUUUAUAACCUACUUAAAUUAAAAACGAAAUUAACUAUUAAAGAUAAGACAAUUUGCAAUAUUAAAACUGGGGGAAAAAGAAAUAAGUUUUGAGAGAAAUCAAAUUAAGAAAGCACUAGGGUUCCACCAUCACCUUGCAAUCCUAUGAACUUUUACCAAUUACUUAUGAUCUACACAUGCCACUUUGAAGGUUAAAUUUUCCUAAUUCAUAUUCUACUUGGAACCUUCAACAUAGAACGUAUAUCUAACAUGCAACCCGUC